GGAUGUAAGGGCGACCUGGCUGUGACAUCUGUCACCUUAUUGAUAGCCAGGGGUGAUUUGGCUGCUCUGGCCAGCCAGGCGAGUGUCCAACUCCUCCCUCACAGCUCCAUGUGCGUCCCUCCUGAAGCUGCUCACUCUGUGGAAGAGGAUAACCCCUGGUCAAAGGUAUGGGAGUAUCAGCGCUUCCCUGCUAGAACCUCUAAAGAAGCUCCCAAGGUCCUAAACUCUCUAGAGAUAUCUAUGGCUAAUAAUAAUGUGUUUCAAAGUUGCUAAAAGAAGAGAUUCUAAAUGGUCUUAUCAUU
rnacentral:snRNA from 1 species